CUCUAAUCAACGGAUGUCUUGGCUCCUUACACGAUGAAGAACGUUGCAUAAUGUGAUAAGUAACUGGAGUUGCGAGCAUUGUGACAAGUUAAUCUUUGAAUGCAAAUUGCGCGUACUGUUACUUUCGGGUAAUAGUUGCAUGUAUGCCACAGUACU
rnacentral:rRNA from 1 species